AGAGUUUGAUCCUGGCUCAGGAUGAACGCUAGCGGGAGGCAUAAUACAUGCAAGUCGAACGGGAUUUGUUGAGUAGCAAUACAAGGCAAUGAGAGUGGCGCACGGGUGCGUAACGGGUAUGCAACCUACAUUUAUCUGGGGGAUAGCCCCUCGAAAGAGGGAUUAAUACCGCAUAAUAUGGCUGAAGGGCAUCCUUUGGCCAUCAAAACUACGGUGGGUAAAUACGGGCAUGCUUGACAUUAGGUAGUUGGUGAGGUAAUGGCUCACCAAGCCUACGAUGUCUAGGGGGUCUGAGAGGAUGUACCCCCACACUGGUACUGAGACACGGACCAGACUCCUACGGGAGGCAGCAGUAGGGAAUAUUGGUCAAUGGACGAAAGUCUGAACCAGCCAUCCAGCGUGCAGGACGACGGCCCUAUGGGUUGUAAACUGCUUUUGUACAGGAAGAAUAAGCUCUACGUGUAGAGUGAUGACGGUACUGUAAGAAUAAGGAUCGGCUAACUCCGUGCCAGCAGCCGCGGUAAUACGGAGGAUCCAAGCGUUGUCCGGAUUUAUUGGGUUUAAAGGGUGCGUAGGCGGUUUAUUAAGUCAGUGGUGAAAGUUUGCGGCCCAACCGUAAAAUUGCCAUUGAAACUGAUAGACUUGAGUUUGGUUGAGGUUGCCGGAAUGUGUCAUGUAGCGGUGAAAUGCUUAGAUAUGAUACAGAACACCGAUUGCGAAGGCAGGUGACUAAACCAAUACUGACGCUGAGGCACGAAAGCGUGGGGAUCAAACAGGAUUAGAUACCCUGGUAGUCCACGCCCUAAACGUUGAUUACUCGUUGUUGGCGAUAUACUGUCAGCGACUAAGCGAAAGCGUUAAGUAAUCCACCUGGGGAGUACGACCGCAAGGUUGAAACUCAAAGGAAUUGACGGGGGCCCGCACAAGCGGAGGAGCAUGUGGUUUAAUUCGAUGAUACGCGAGGAACCUUACCUGGGCUUGAAUGUGAGUGACCGACUGGGAAACCAGUCUUCUCUUUGGAGCACAAAACAAGGUGCUGCAUGGCUGUCGUCAGCUCGUGCCGUGAGGUGUUGGGUUAAGUCCCGCAACGAGAGCAACCCCUAUCUUUAGUUGCCAUCAGGUUAUGCUGGGGACUCUAAAGAGACUGCCUACGUAAGUAGUGAGGAAGGUGGGGAUGACGUCAAGUCAUCAUGGCCCUUACGUCCAGGGCUACACACGUGCUACAAUGGGUGCUACAAAGGGCAGCAACACAGUGAUGUGAAGCCAAUCUCUAAAAAGCACUCUCAGUUCGGAUUGGAGUCUGCAACUCGACUCCAUGAAGUUGGAUUCGCUAGUAAUCGGAUAUCAGCAAUGAUCCGGUGAAUACGUUCCCGGGCCUUGUACACACCGCCCGUCAAGCCAUGGGAGUUGGGAGUGCCUAAAGUUCGUAACCGUAAGGAGCGACCUAGGGCAAUACCGAUGACUAGGGCUAAGUCGUAACAAGGUA
rnacentral:rRNA from 1 species